UUUAUGGAGAGUUUGAUCCUGGCUCAGGACGAACGCUGGCGGCGUGCCUAAUACAUGCAAGUCGAGCGGACUUGACGAGAAGCUUGCUUCUCUGAUGGUUAGCGGCGGACGGGUGAGUAACACGUAGGCAACCUGCCUGCAAGACCGGGAUAACAUUCGGAAACGAAUGCUAAUACCGGAUACGCAAUUUGGCUGCAUGGCCGAAUUGGGAAAGACGGAGCAAUCUGUCACUUGCAGAUGGGCCUGCGGCGCAUUAGCUAGUUGGUGGGGUAACGGCUCACCAAGGCGACGAUGCGUAGCCGACCUGAGAGGGUGAUCGGCCACACUGG
rnacentral:rRNA from 1 species